rnacentral:rRNA from 1 species
AGCAGUGGGGAAUAUUGGACAAUGGGCGCAAGCCUGAUCCAGCAAUGCCGCGUGGAUGAAGAAGGUCUUCGGAUUGUAAGGUCCUUUCGGCGGGGACGAUGAUGACGGUACCCGCAGAAGGAGCCCCGGCUAACUUCGUGCCAGCAGCCGCGGUAAUACGAAGGGGGCUAGCGUUGCUCGGAAUGACUGGGCGUAAAGGGCGCGUAGGCGGACAUAUUAGUCAGGCGUGAAAUUCCCGGGCUUAACCUGGGGGCUGCGUUUGAUACGGUGUGUCUAGAGUUUGGAAGAGGGUCGUGGAAUUCCCAGUGUAGAGGUGAAAUUCGUAGAUAUUGGGGAAGAACACCGGUGGCGAAGCGGCGACCUGGUCCUUGACUGACGCUGAGG